rnacentral:ribozyme from 1 species
GGGAGGCGAAAUCCGACUCACACGUCCUCGUCGUGCCUCCUGGAUCAUGGGACUGAUUCCAUGACCUAACGUGGGCGG